UACGGAGGGUGCAAGCGUUAUCCGGAUUCACUGGGUUUAAAGGGUGCGUAGGUGGAUUAGUAAGUCAGUGGUGAAAUCUCCGGGCUUAACCCGGAAACUGCCAUUGAUACUAUUAGUCUUGAAUACCGUGGAGGUCAGCGGAAUAUGUCAUGUAGCGGUGAAAUGCUUAGAUAUGACAUAGAACACCAAAUUGCGAAGGCAGCUGGCUACACGAAUAUUGACACUCAGGCACGAAAGCGUGGGGAUCAAACAGG
rnacentral:rRNA from 1 species